GCACCAGACUCCUACGGGAGGCAGCAGUGGGGAAUAUUGGGCAAUGGGCGCAAGCCUGACCCAGCAACGCUGCGUGAAGGAAGAAGGCUUUCGGGUUGUAAACUUCUUUUAAGAGGGAGGAGUAGAAGACGGUACCUCUUGAAUAAGCCACGGCUAACUACGUGCCAGCAGCCGCGGUAAUACGUAGGUGGCAAGCGUUGUCCGGAUUUACUGGGUGUAAAGGGCGUGUAGCCGGGUUGACAAGUCAGAUGUGAAAUCCUGCGGCUUAACCGCAGAACUGCAUUUGAAACUGUUGAUCUUGAGUAUCGGAGAGGCAGGCGGAAUUCCUAGUGUAGCGGUGAAAUGCGUAGAUAUUAGGAGGAACACCAGUGGCGAAGGCGGCCUGCUGGACGACAACUGACGGUGAGGCGCGAAAGCGUGGGGAGCAAACAGGAUUAGAUACCCUUGUAGG
rnacentral:rRNA from 1 species